AAAAAAAUUAACUUAUAUGUAGAUAGUAUUUGCUUAGUAUUUGCUUUAGCACAGGAUCAGUGCUAAAAGAUGAUGAGGUUCCUUAGAAGAGAACGUCACUUUCACUGAGUUGAAAAUGAGUAGUGAGUUCAAAAAACAAGUUAAUAAUGUGAUCUUGUUAAUUUGGGAACUCAACGAAAGCAUUGUGUUUUAAUUAGCCUUGUUAUUUUUACUCUAAAUGUUAAUUCCAUGAGCAUUUUCUUUAAUUAUCCUAAUUUGUUUUUAAUUGAUUGUUUUUCAACUCACUAAAAGUAUGUUUAGCCUCCUGUCCCUUAAAAUAAUAUCUCUUUAUUUGUCGAGCAUGUCUCUACUCUGAGCCGGAGAGGAAGCAAGAAUACAGUAGCUCUCUGUUUUAGAAGCGCUCUGUGCAAAUGUGGCUGAAAAAGCAGCUCCCCUUUACUAAACAGGCAGAUGUCAUUUCCUGCUUCAUCACUGUGGAAACUGAGCCUCUGAGAAGUGAGGUAGCUUGCCUAAGUCUGCCAGAGGGAGACACUGUAAGUAGAUUCAAACGUGUUCAUCUGCCUGAAGAAGAACCCAGUGUUCACUGGCACACAGUUGUGAAGAGAAGCUCAGACGAGAAGGAUGAAUGGGUGUUUUAUAUAAGACCUGUGGAAGAGGAAGCCCUUUGCUGCCCAAGGCUGAUUUUCCCCAGAAGCAAUGAGUGCAUCACUUUGAUAAAGGGAAGGUCCCCGUGUGAUAAUAGUGCUUUAUUUCCCAUGGGUCUUAGGGCAGGUCCUUAAAAGAUCACCGUGAAAAUGCCUGGCCUGGCAUCUUGGAGUGAAGCUGACCUGAGGCCCUAAGCUGGCACUAGAGCCAUGAGGGUGCCUGGAAGGUUCUGACAUCGAGAGAGGACAUGGGUGACUUUGGCCCCAGGCCUGAGCGUGAGAACACGCGAGCAGCUGGCAGCCCAAGAGAAGGGGUUAGUUACUGCCACAGUCUCCUUUCAUCUUGUCAUCAACAGUCCAUCCAUUCUCUGAUAAAUGGUGGCAUUUACUUAGUAAUACUGGGAUAUUUUUGAGGAAUGAUUCGAAUUGACAAGGUUCUAUGUAAUGUUCCAUUUUUCUUUCUCACUCUUGCUGGUUGGCUCAUAAAUCUAUAAUCAGGCACUGCUAGUGGCUAGGAAGCAGGCACUUUCUAGAAGAUCUGAAAGACCAGACUUGUAAACAUGCCAUUUUCUUGUGCUUCCUUGGACAAAGCCUCAACAGCUACCUCUGUAAAAAGGAAAUACCCCUGUUUACAUCGCUGACACGUUAGGAAGCUGAAAAUGAGGCCAUAAAUGGGAAAGUCCCUAGCACAGGGCCUGGCACAUAUUAGGUACUUAAUACAUUUACUUUCG